GGAAGAUAAUGACGGUACUCAACAAGGAAGUGACGGCUAACUACGUGCCAGCAGCCGCGCUAAAACGUAGGUCACACGCGUUCUCCGUAAUUACUGGGUGUAAAGGGAGAGCAGGCGGGAAGACAAGUUGGAAGUGAGAUCUAUGGGCUCAACCCAUAAACUGCUUUCAAAAGUGUUUUUCUUGAGUAGUGCAGAGGUAGGCGGAAUUCCCGGUGUAGCGGUGGAAUGCGUAGAUAUCGGGAGGAACACCAGUGGCGAAGGCGGCCUACUGGGCACCAACUGACGCUGAGGCUCGAAAGUGUGGGUAGCAAACAGGAUUAGAUACCCUGGUAGUCCACACCGUAAACGAUGAUUACUAGGUGUUGGAGGAUUGACCCCUUCAGUGCCGCAGUUAACACAAUAAGUAAUCCMCCUGGGGAGUACGACCGCAAGGUUGAAACUCAAAGGAAUUGACGGGGGCCCGCACAAGCAGUGGAGUAUGUGGUUUAAUUCGACGCAACGCGAAGAACCUUACCAAGUCUUGACAUCCUGCGACGAUGCUAGAAAUAUUUUUUUCCUUCGGGACGCAGAGACAGGUGGUGCAUGGUUGMCGUCAGUUCGUGUCGUGAGAUGUUGUGUUACGCCCCGCAACCAYCWC
rnacentral:rRNA from 1 species